GGGUCAGUAGGUUGGUCGUGCCACCGGUACGUACUGGUCUCACUGAUUCCUCCUUCCUGAAGAACCGUAAUGCCAUUAAUUUGGUGUUGCGGGGAAACAGGACUGUUACUUUGAAAAAAUUAGAGUGUUUAAAGCAAGCUAACACUUGAAUACAUUAGCAUGGAAUAAUGAAAUAGGACGAUCGAUCCUAUUUUGUUGGUUCCUAGGAUUGACGUA
rnacentral:rRNA from 1 species